rnacentral:rRNA from 1 species
CUUGAACGCUGGCGGCAGGCUUAAAACAUGCAAGUCGAACGAGUGGCGGACGGGUGAGUAAUGAUUGGGAAUCUAGCUGAUGGAGGGGGAUAACUACGGGAAACUGUAGCUAAUACCGCGUACCAUAGGAUGAGCCCACGUGGGAUUAGGUAGUUGGUGAGGUAAAGGCUCACCAAGCCGACGAGCUCUAGCUGGUCUGAGAGGCUGAACAGCCAAACUGGGACUGAGGAACGGCCCAGACGCCUACGGGAGGCAGCAGUGGGGAAUAUUGCGCAAUGGGGGCAACCUGACGCAGCCAUGCGGCGUGAAUGAAGAAUGCCUUCGGGUUGUAAAGUUCUUUCGGUAGCGAGGCGUUAACUACAGAAGAAGCACCGGCUAACUCCGUGCCAGCAGCCGCGGUAAUUC